AUGACAGACACCCUGCAUCCCCUCCUGCGAUUCUGCAUGCUGGUGUUCUUCGACGACAUACUUGUGUUCAGUAAAACUUGGGAAGAACACUUGGACCACGUGCGCCAGGUCCUCACCUUGCUGCUCGUGACCAAUGGAAGGUUAAGAAAUCCAAGUGCGAGUUCGGACAGUAGCAACUGUCAUAUCUGGGGCACGUCAUCAGCUGUCAGGGGGUGUCCACUGACCCUAGUAAGAUCCAAACAGUCCAAUUGUGGCAAACACCGGGGGGUGUUAAGAAGGUGCGCCGGUUUCUGGGAUUGGCUGGGUACUACCGCAGAUUUGUGCGUGGAUUCGGCAUCAUUGCCCGGCCUCUUUUCAACUUGCUCAAGAAAGGCGUGCCGUUCGUGUGGACCGAUAACACCAAACAGGCUUUUCUUCUCCUGA
rnacentral:rRNA from 1 species